UACAGAGGGGGCAAGCGUUGUUCGGAAUUACUGGGCGUAAAGGGCGCGUAGGCGGCCACCUAAGUCAGACGUGAAAUCCCUCGGCUCAACCGGGGAACUGCGUCUGAUACUGGGCGGCUUGAAUUCGGGAGAGGAAUGCGGAAUUCCAGGUGUAGCGGUGAAAUGCGUAGAUAUCUGGAGGAACACCGGUGGCGAAGGCGGCAUUCUGGACCGACAUUGACGCUGAGGCGCGAAAGCGUGGGGAGCAAACAGG
rnacentral:rRNA from 1 species